AGCAAAGCAAGCUAGAAGAAAACGGUAUGUCCGGGAUCCAAAACUCCGUAUUACAGCGGAUCUUCUCCUCUGAUCUGAAAAGCUUCACAGGCCAAAAGAGAAUUGAGAGGAAGAAGGAAAUAGAGAAUGCUGACCAGUAUUUCCAAUUACCACCCCAACUUCUGUCUUGGCUCUUCGCAUCCAGCCAGAGCAGCUUCUUUGCCUCCGCAACGUGC